rnacentral:rRNA from 1 species
AACGAACGCUGGCGGCAUGCCUAACACAUGCAAGUCGAACGAGACCUUCGGGUCUAGUGGCGCACGGGUGCGUAACGCGUGGGAACCUGCCCUUAGGUUCGGAAGAACUCCCCGAAAGGGGUGCUAAUACCGGAUAAUGUCUUCGGACCAAAGAUUUAUCGCCUUUGGAUGGGCCGGCGUUGGAUUAGCUAGUUGGUAGGGUAAAAGCCUACCAAGGCGACGAUCCAUAGCUGGUCUGAGAGGAUGAUCAGCCACACUGGGACUGAGACACGGCCCAGACUCCUACGGGAGGCAGCAGUGGGGAAUAUUGGACAGUGGGCGAAAGCCUGAUCCAGCAAUGCCGCGUGAGUGAUGAAGGCCUUAGGGUUGUAAAGCUCUUUUACCCGGGAUGAUAAUGACAGUACCGGGAGAAUAAGCUCCGGCUAACUCCGUG